UGGGGAAUCUUCCGCAAUGGACGAAAGUCUGACGGAGCAACGCCGCGUGAGUGAAGAAGGUUUUCGGAUCGUAAAACUCUGUCUUUUGGGGCGAACGUGAGUAUGGUGAACAAUCAUAGUCAGUGACGGUACCAAAGGAGGAAGCCACGGCUAACUACGUGCCAGCAGCCGCGGUAAUACGUAGGUGGCAAGCGUUGUCCGGAAUUAUUGGGCGUAAAGAGCACGUAGGCGGGAUAGUCAGUCUGUUGUAAAAGUGCGGGGCUCAACCCCGUGAUGGCAAUGGAAACAGCUAUCCUUGAGUGCAGGAGAGGAAAGUGGAAUUCCCAGUGUAGCGGUGAAAUGCGUAGAUAUUGGGAGGAACACCAGUGGCGAAGGCGACUUUCUGGACUGUGUCUGACGCUGAGGCGCGAAAGCCAGGGGAGCGAACGGGAUUAGAUACCCCGGUAGUCCUGGCCGUAAACGAUGGGUACUAGGUGUGGGAGGUAUCGACCCCCUUCCGUGCCGGAGUUAACGCGAUAAGUACCCCGCCUGGGGAGUACGGUCGCAAGACUGAAACUC
rnacentral:rRNA from 1 species